UGCCAAAUCCUGGCCCUCCAUUUGCUCCUCACUUCCAGGUGGUAAAUGUCCUCAGGCAUUAGGCCUUUUCAGACUACCACUAAUGACUUAAUACCAAAUUACCUGCAGUCAGCCCAGCCCAGCUGGAACUGGACACCCAGUCCUUCCACCUAUGGAGUCAAAGGCACCUGAAUCAGCCUGUUCAGUCAUUUCUGCCAGAAGCUGCCACUUUUCCUGAUCGACAUCUGAGAUUCCUUAUAUGCUGAAGCAUCAUCGGAAUGCUCUCGCCUGCAUCCGUCGGGGAGAAAAACCCUCCAUAGAGCAGUAAAAACUUAGCCCAAUGCUAUA